GCAAGUCGAACGGGAUCUUCGGAUCUAGUGGCAGACGGGUGAGUAACACGUGGGAAUCUACCCAGUACUACGGGAUAACACAGAGAAAUUUGUGCUAAUACCGUAUACGCCCUUCGGGGGAAAGAUUUAUCGGUAUUGGAUGAGCCCGCGUUUGAUUAGCUAGUUGGUGAGGUAAUGGCCUACCAAGGCUACGAUCAGUAGCUGGUCUGAGAGGAUGAUC
rnacentral:rRNA from 1 species